rnacentral:rRNA from 1 species
GACUUGACAUGCAUGGAUUAACUCCUGGAAACAGGAGCCAGGCCUUCGGGUACAACGUGCACAGGUGCUGCAUGGCUGUCGUCAGCUCGUGUCGUGAGAUGUCGGGUUAAGUCCCUUAACGAGCGAAACCCUUGUCUCUAGUUGCCAGCGGGUCAUGCCGGGAACUCUAGAGAGACUGCCGGUGUUAAACCGGAGGAAGGUGGGGAUGACGUCAAGUCCUCAUGGCCUUUAUGAUUAGGGCUGCACACGUCCUACAAUGGCGCGAACAAAGGGAAGCAAACUCGCGAGAGCAAGCAAAUCCCAAAAAACGCGCCUCAGUUCGGAUUGCAGGCUGCAACUCGCCUGCAUGAAGCCGGAAUCGCUAGUAAUCGCGGGUCAGCAUACCGCGGUGAAUAUGUUCCUGAGCCAGACUGGAGA